rnacentral:rRNA from 2 species
CCGGCGAUGUCCGAAUGGGGAAACCCAGUGCAAUUCGUUGCACUAUCGUUAACUGAAUACAUAGGUUAACGAGGCGAACCGGGGGAACUGAAACAUCUAAGUACCCCGAGGAAAAGAAAUCAACCGAGAUUCCCCCAGUAGCGGCGAGCGAACGGGGAGCAGCCCAGAGUCUGAAUCAGCUUGUGUGUUAGUGGAACGGUCUGGAAAGUCCGACGGUACAGGGUGAUAGUCCCGUACACCAAAAUGCACAGG